UACGUAGGUGGCGAGCGUUAUCCGGAAUGAUUGGGCGUAAAGGGUGCGUAGGCGGCCUGCUAAGUCUGGAGUGAAAGGUACCGGCUCAACCGGUACAGGCUCUGGAAACUGGCGGGCUAGAGAGCAGGAGAGGGCGGUGGAACUCCAUGUGUAGCGGUGAAAUGCGUAGAUAUUAGGAGGAACACCAGUUGCGAAGGCGGCUCUCUGGACUGUAACUGACACUGAGGCACGAAAGCGUGGGGAGCAAAUAGG
rnacentral:rRNA from 1 species